UUUUUAUGUGGACCUCUGCCCUUGUGCCUCUGGUGCUUGGGUGGAACCACAUAAGCAGGUGAAACUUCUUAGAGGAACUGGCGUUCGAAAAGGCGCACGAGAAAGAGCAAUAACAGGUCUGUGAUGCCCUAAGAUGUCCGGGGCCGCACGCGUGCUACAAUGACGAUGCUACUGAGCAUGAUUAACUUGUCCGAAAGGAUUGGUGAAACUGUUCAAUCAUCGUCGUGACUGGGAUUGGGGUUUGCAAUUGUCCCCCAUGAACCAGGAAUUCCUAGUAAGCACAAGUCAUAAGCUUGUGCUGAUUACGUCCCUGCCCUUUGUACACACCGCCCGUCGCUACUACCGAUUGAAUGGUUUAGCAAGGACAUUGGAUUGAGCCCUUGCGGUUUCGGCUGCUUGGGUUUGAGAAGAUGUCCGAACUUGAUCAUUUAGAGGAAGUAAAAGUCGUAACAAGGUUUCCGUAGGUGAACCUGCGGAAGGAUCAUUA
rnacentral:rRNA from 1 species